CCUACGGGAGGCAGCAGUGGGGAAUUUUGGACAAUGGGCGAAAGCCUGAUCCAGCCAUUCCGCGUGCAGGAUGAAGGCCCUCGGGUUGUAAACUGCUUUUGUACAGAACGAAAAGGUUUCUACUAAUACUAGGAGCUCAUGACGGUACUGUAAGAAUAAGCACCGGCUAACUACGUGCCAGCAGCCGCGGUAAUACGUAGGGUGCAAGCGUUAAUCGGAAUUACUGGGCGUAAAGCGUGCGCAGGCGGUUAUAUAAGUCAGAUGUGAAAUCCCCGGGCUCAACCUGGGAACUGCAUUUGAGACUGUAUAGCUAGAGUACGGUAGAGGGGGAUGGAAUUCCGCGUGUAGCAGUGAAAUGCGUAGAUAUGCGGAGGAACACCGAUGGCGAAGGCAAUCCCCUGGACCUGUACUGACGCUCAUGCACGAAAGCGUGGGGAGCAAACAGGAUUAGAUACCCUGGUAGUCCACGCCCUAAACGAUUUGCAACUGGUUGUUGGGUCUUAACUGACUCAGUAACGAAGCUAACGCGUGAAGUUGACCGCCUGGGGAUACGGCCGCAAGGUUGAAACUCAAAGGAUUGACGGCNGAGAGNGCGAGACGACGACGAGGGAGGAGG
rnacentral:rRNA from 1 species